rfam:Helianthus annuus linkage group 16, whole genome shotgun sequence.
GAAGCUCAAGUGAUGAUCAUUUGCAUAGUUCAACUGACAAUAUAUUGUGAUUAUAAAUCUUUUAUUGGUCUUUCGCUCUUAUCUGAUGAGCUUU